UUAUGCCUACGGGGGGCAGCAGUGGGGAAUAUUGCACAAUGGGGGAAACCCUGAUGCAGCGACGCCGCGUGAAGGAAGAAGUAUUUCGGUAUGUAAACUUCUAUCAGCAGGGAAGAAAAUGACGGUACCUGACUAAGAAGCCCCGGCUAACUACGUGCCAGCAGCCGCGGUAAUACGUAGGGGGCAAGCGUUAUCCGGAUUUACUGGGUGUAAAGGGAGCGUAGACGGCAUGGCAAGUCUGGUGUGAAAGGCAGGGGCUCAACCCCUGGACUGCAUUGGAAACUGUCAGGCUGGAGUGCAGGAGG
rnacentral:rRNA from 1 species